GACGAACGCUGGCGGCGUGCCUAAUACAUGCAAGUUGAGCGAUGAAGAUUGGUGCUUGCACCAAUUUGAAGAGCAGCGAGCGGGUGAGUAACGCGUGGGGAAUCUGCCUUUGAGCGGGGGACAACAUUUGGAAACGAAUGCUAAUACCGCAUAACAACUUUAAACAUAAGUUUUAAGUUUGAAAGAUGCAAUUGCAUCACUCAAAGAUGAUCCCGCGUUGUAUUAGCUAGUUGGUGAGGUAAAGGCUCACCAAGGCGAUGAUACAUAGCCGACCUGAGAGGGUGGACGGCCACAUUGGGACUGAGACACCGCCCAAACUCCUACGGGAGGCAGCAGUAGGGGAUCUUCGGCAAUGGGCGAAAGUCUGACCGAGCAACGCCGCGUGAGUGAAGAAGGUUUUCGGAUCGUAAAACUCUGUUGGUAGGGAAGAACGUUGGUGAGAGUGGAAAGCUCAUCAAGUGACGGUAACUACCCAGAAAGGGACGGCUAACUACGUG
rnacentral:rRNA from 1 species